CCUACGGGUGGCAGCAGUGGGGAAUAUUGCGCAAUGGGCGAUAGCCUGACGCAGCGACGACGCGUGAGGGAUGAAGGUCUUAGGAUCGUAAACCUCUGUCAGCAGGGAAGAACGGUCACUGUGCUAAUCAGCAGUGAAUUGACGGUACCUGCAAAGGAAGCACCGGCUAACUCCGUGCCAGCAGCCGCGGUAAUACGGAGGGUGCGAGCGUUAAUCGGAAUUACUGGGCGUAAAGCGCUCGUAGGCGGUAUGUCAAGUCAAGGGUGAAAUCCCCGCGCUCAACGUGGGAACUGCCUUUGAAACUGGCGAACUUGAGUGUGUGGGAGGAUAGUGGAAUUCGAGGUGUAGGAGUGAAAUCCGUAGAGAGCUGGAGGAACAACAGGGGCGAAGGCGACUAUCUGGCACAUAACUGACGCUGAGGAGCGAAAGCGUGGGUAUCAAACAGGAUUAGAUACCCGGGUAGUC
rnacentral:rRNA from 1 species